rnacentral:rRNA from 1 species
CCUACGGGUGACAGCAGUGAGGAAUAUUGGUCAAUGGACGAGAGUCUGAACCAGCCAAGUAGCGUGAAGGAUGACUGCCCUAUGGGUUGUAAACUUCUUUUAUAUGGGAAUAAAAUGUUCCACGUGUGGGAUUUUGUAUGUACCAUAUGAAUAAGGAUCGGCUAACUCCGUGCCAGCAGCCGCGGUAAUACGGAGGAUCCGAGCGUUAUCCGGAUUUAUUGGGUUUAAAGGGAGCGUAGGUGGAUUGUUAAGUCAGUUGUGAAAGUUUGCGGCUCAACCGUAAAAUUGCAGUUGAAACUGGCAGUCUUGAGUACAGUAGAGGUGGGCGGAAUUCGUGGUGGAGCGGUGAAAUGCUUAGAUAUCACGAAGAACUCCGAUUGCGAAGGCAGUUCACUGGACUGCAACGGACACUGAGGCUCGAAAGUGUGGGUAUCAAACAGGAUUAGAUACCCCUGUAGUC